rnacentral:lncRNA from 1 species
AAUAGGGAUCACUGCUUCCAUCCUGAAGACCAGGCAAAAAGGGGUUUCCCCUGUCAGAACUCUCGAUGUCGUCCGAUAUGCUCAGAACAUAUGGUGAAGUUCAUCCGUCCAAGAUCCUUUGGCUCUAUCCAAUCUUAUCUUUAAGUCCUGUAAAAUAAUCCAAUUUGUUACCUCGGCUUCUCUAUUUGCUUGAAGGUGAGCUAUGGA